rnacentral:tRNA from 1 species
GGCACUUUGGCGGAGUGGUUAACGCGAUGCCCUGCUACGUCACGUGACCAUGCAUAGGCAUUUCCCUCGGGAGCGUGAGUUCGAAUCUCACAGGUGUCG